GCGUAGCUCAGUUGGUUAGAGUGUUUUGCUGAUAACACCAAGGUUGAGGGUUCAAUCCCCCAUAAGGGACA